CCGGCCUCGCCCACACCGGGGGUCCCGGCGCUCCCGCUCGCCCCUGCCCCAGCAGAAACUUUGGCCGCCCACGUAUCCUGAUCCGUGCCAGGAGGGAAAGGAAGGGCAGGGCGGGGCAGGGCAGGUCCUGUGCCCGAUCCCCCGGAGCUGGUGGCCGGUGCGCCGCGGCCCCCGGCUGUUGGCGCGUCCCAGCAGGUGGAGCGAGCGCCGCGGGCUGCAGGGCGCGCUGAGCCCUCGCUCGCUGUGUAAACACCGUGACCACAGGGGAAGUGUUCUCACUCCGCUGGCAUCUGCCUAAAUUUAGCUGCUCUUAGGUCACCCCAUCCCGCUGCCUCCUCGCUCCCGGUGCCGCGCUGAAUCCCGUCCCUGUGCGCUCCGCUGGCCGCGCCGCGGGGCAGAGCCCGAACCCCCCUGUGCGCUCCUGGCACAGCCCCAGCAGAGCUGCCAGCACGGGAAUCGGUGCCCAGUGGCUGUGCUGGGCACUUUGGUGUCCUGGCAAUUCCGAGCUUUGCUUGGUGCUGGGUUUUGCCAGAGCCCGCGGCACGGAGGGGAGGGACGGGGCGGUGAGAGCCCGCACUGCCCCGUUCCGUCCCGAACCCGCCUGGAGCUGGCGGCAGCAGCUGCUCGCGCUGACAAAAAACAUCCUCUAGAGGGAACUGCCAGCCCAGACAUGGUUCCAGUGCCGCCAGGAAAGGAGCAUCGCCCCACGAGGGCGUGAGCGGGACCGGGAGUGGAGAUACAGCAUGGUCAGGGCGGCCACCUCCCUUCCCCGUGACCGUCCCACCUGCCAGCUCACCUGGGGACAGCGCUGGGCUGCGGCCCGAGGCUUUGGGGGCAGCAAAAAUCUGUGUGCCACUGUCCUGGCAGAGACCGGGCACUCCCGGCAGCCCUGCCGGCCGCAGCCCCUCCCCACCGUGGGGACAGCACCGGCUGGAGAGCUGUACCGCGGCUCCCAGGGGUCCUGUCCCCUGCCGGGGGCAAGCGGGACCCCUCUGCAGAGCCCCUCGUCCCUCUGCUUUCCAGGACAAGAGCCCAUCAAGGUGAUCGGGGUUGUCUUGGGCAUCGGUCUGGCCCUGCUGGUCCUGGCGAGUUUUGGCUACACCUUCAUCCCCCCCCCCCCCCCCCCCCCCCCCCCCCCCCCCCCCCCCCCCCCCCCCCCCCCCCCCCCCCCCCCCCCCCCCCCCCCCCCCCCCCCCCCCCCCCCCCCCCCCCCCCCCCCCCAGGGGCCACUCCCGGCGCCGGCCUGACUUUGUCUUCAACCUCUACCACUCACGCGGGCUGGGGUCGGUGGCACUGGAGCUGGUGCCACCGUUCAGCAUCAGUGGCUCGCUGGGCACCUCGGGCAGCGGCUACGAGCCCUUCCCCAGCCAGGGGCCGUGAGGUGGCAGCUGGGCUGCUGAGCAGGUAGGACAUCCCCCUGUCCCCUCUGUCUGCCCCUGGGCAUCACAGCUUUCCUCAGGACAGUCCCAAGGGUUUUUCCAGCAAAAGCUGUGGCUGUGGGGCUUCAGAGGCUUUCCCUGAGCUCUGGUUCUGGUUUCUCCCCUCACAGGCUUUGGUUUGUGUUUCCUUCCCUGAUGUCCCAGGGAUGGGGCAGAGGGAUGGGGCUGGAGCCUGGCUGCUCUUGCAGAGCUUCCUCUUGCUGCCUCUUACUCACAGCCCAGCACCAACAAAAAAAGCAACCAAAACUGGCCAGGGGGAAUUCCUCCAUUUUCACUUCUGUAAGAAACAGCCCCUGAAUUUGUUGGAUUUCAACUGAAAUGGCAAGGGUGCAGUUUCUGUUGCUAAAAAAGCUUCACAGAAUCACAGAAUUGUUGGGGUUGGAAGGGGCCUCUGGACACCAUCUGGUCCAACCCCCCUUGCCCAAGGUCACCUGGAGCAGGUGACACAGGAACUCACCCAGGUGGCUUUGGAAUGUCUCCAGAGAGGGAAACUCCAGGAAUUCCCUGGGCAUCUCCUCCAGCUGCAGUUCUCUCCCAGCAGCCAGGGGUGCACAGGAGGUGCCUGGGCCAGCACUGGUGCAGCCCCCCCUUGCUUGGGAUGGAGGGAGAUGAUGGAGCCUUAUCCCAGGAUUCCUCAGUACUGCUCCUGGAGAAAACAGCCACGUUCCCCAGGGCUCAGAGAGCUCCCAGCCUCCUGCACAGCAGAGACCUGGCACCAGACAGGGAGCCAGCUGAGGAGGAGGCCCAGGAGCCCCAGAACUGGGUGACUGGAUUUGUGCAACUGUGGAAAACGCUGUGAGAAAUGGGAAAUCUUUCUCAGACCUCCUCCUCCAUUCAAUAUCUGCACCCACAAGGAGGUUGGUUCUCCACACUGCCAGCAAGGAAACUCCUCAGAAAGCCCCUGUGGAGAUCCUCUUGGUAUCUCUGUGCCAAUUGCCUUUGGUCUCAGCAGAACAAGUGGCUGUGGAAGUGCCUGGGGCACAGGAGCAGCCAUGGGGAGAUUCUGUGGCCACAGAGAGGGGCCCUGCUUGGCCAGCAGGGGCUGGUGAGGCACGAGGGGCCUUGGGACAGUUUCUUUGAGAGUUUGUCUCAGAAAAAAACCAAAUUAAAACUCAUGAGAGCCACGUGCUUGUGUGUAGGGAAAGCAGUGAGGACAGAGUGGGAUUUCCAGAGAGUCACAGGGACCAUCUGUGCUCUCGGCUGUCAAAGCUGAACCCUGUGGUCUGUGGCUUUCUCCUGGCUGAAAGGAGAUCUCUGCCUGCUCAUGGAGAGGGGGAAGUGCCACCUCCUGGGGCCUGGGAGCCCUCCAUGGUGAGCAGGACCCGGCAGAGCCCUGCGUGACGCAGGAUCCGGCCGUGGGGCCUGACGUCAGCAGCACUUAAAAGAAAAACAAGAAAAAGAAAAAAAAGCCGUGCUUUUGAUGACUCCAUUUUCCAGAGGAAGUUGAACAAAAAAAUCAAAAAGCAAGCAAAAAGCUCAAACCCCCGAAAUACACAGAGGCAGAAGAGCAGGAAGAAGAGCAGAAGGGCUGGAGGAGGCUCCCAGUGCCCUCCACAUCCCUGUGGGAUGCAGGGAUGGAUCUCGCGUGUGAGCAGUGCCGUGUGAGAUGUGAGAGAAGGAAACACAGCAAGGAUCAGCCCCCUCCUCCUGCCUGCACUGGAGAAGCUGAAAAUAAACCCAAAAACCCUUCACCUGAAAACCACAUUCCCCCAGGAGGGUUUCUGCCAGCAGUUUGACUUCCCACCAUGAAGGUUCCUGGAAAAGGAGUGACUUUUGGGAAAGCUUCCCUGGGGCCUGGAAGGUGACCCAGGGUGAGCUGUUGGGUCUCAUCCUGUUUCCAUUCUGAUGACAACUGUUCACAGCAUCACAGAAUCAAUUAGUUUGGAAAAGAUCUCUGAGAUCAUCGAGCCCAGCCUAUGACUGAACACCACGCUGCUGAGCAGAGCCCUGAUUGUUGUGUUUCCUCCACCCCCGGGUCUGACCUGUCCUGCUCCUGUUGAUGUCCCUGGGAUGAGAAUCCCUGUGCAGUCACUGUGAGCAGCCCAGCUCCUUUUCCCUGCUGCUCUGGGGAUUGCUCCCAAAACUUCCCCAGGGAGAAGCACCCAGGAACUCAGGUGUGUGAGGAGCUCUUGGAGAGAUCACUUGGUUCUCCUUUUUCCCACCUGUGAUGUAGAAACACUCUUCCCCAUGUGAGGCAAAGGCACAUUGCCUCUUGCUGAUGGGGAAUGUCCAAAUCUGGAAACAGAAAGCUCAGCUUGUCCUUAGGAGAGGAUGAACAGACAAAUGGACCAAACAAAUAACACCACAUCCUUUCUGUAUUUACAAAUGAAAUGCAAUAAAUAAUGUCUGUGUCCAACAGUGGCAGAACACAGACCAUAGUGUGGGUCGGACUGCCCCAGCUCAUGCUGGGCUCCCAGGUGCAUCCCAUAUCCUGCCCUGGGGCUCUCCCAGAGGGGCCGGAUGCUGAAGGGUCACUGCAGGGUCAGGAAAGUCUCUGUGCCCGUCCCUGCGGGGUCAGGCAGGGCAGGAGCCCCGUGCUGCCAGCAGCAGGGUGCUGAUGUCAGGCUGACGUCUGCUGUCCGUGUCUGUGUUGCGAAAGGUUGGGAUGGCAUCAGAGUGAGGACAUCAGCAGGAGGAGCCCAGCUGGCCCAGGAGAGGGGGAAGUGGAAGCACAGGAGUACCCCAGGCCACGAGGGUGGCCCUGCACCCCGUGCUGGGCUGCUGAGGAGGGCAGACAAGGCAGGGCCGCCCUGUGUGUAUCCUUGGUGGCCGAGGGGGUCGGGAUGAGCCCCUCCAGCAAAGCACAUCCCUGCCUCCCAAUAAAGGGGGCUGCCCACAGCAGGAGUGGGGCCAAAGCAGCCCCAGCAGUGGCUGGGCUGGCGCUCCUGGCACCAGGAACACUCAGGGGUAGCUUAUCCAGUGGCAGACGAGGUAGUUGGGUCAGAGCACAGGGCU
rnacentral:lncRNA from 1 species